GGCAAGAUGGCCGAGCGGUCUAAGGCGCUAGCUUCAGGCUCAUUACUGAGUACUGCUAGUGUGGAAACACGCGUGGGGUAAGAUUCACUCAGUCGCUCGCUAUGAACUAUGCUAACAUGAUGUAGUUCGAAUCCCACUCUUGUCA